UUUAAAUCACCGCAGAGCAUUAGAGUUCCCUGUGCUAACAAAUGAGUAGGUUCUCAUUAGUUAUCAUACACAGUGUGUGUGUGUCUUUUAAGAGCUUCUUACUCAAAUGUUUUUAAUGUAGACUAUAAAUCUGAAGCAUUUGGGUUUUUGGUUUCCAGCCAAACAAGAAUUACACAUGAGAUGGUUGGUGGGGUGGUGGUGGUGGGGGGGGGGUUGGAGCAGUCUCGGCCAGGUAAAACCCACCUCCUGUACCCCUUUUCUGAGUUGGCCUGGGCACCAGAAAAGCACAAAGGAAUGCCUACAUCCAGGGUUUGGGGAGCGCCACCAAAAUCGAAUAAAAAGCCUUUGUUUGGAAACCAUCAAUGAACGAAGGAACCCACUGGAAUGUUUGUAAUUACAAGUGGCACCUCCUUGUUUAAAUUUCAGAAGCCACAGUUUCUUUUUCAGAUAUUUAAAUUGCAGGUUCUAGCCAGCAGCUGCUGUCGUGGUUAAUGGGCACUUUCUCUUUGAAGAUCUUCCAGUGCUGGUUCUCAAAAGCUUUGGAGCAGUUGGCCUUGAACUAGGGUUAGAAGAAAGGGAGAUGGAGGUAUUUAUAUACAUGCACAGCAAAAGUGACAUGUGGCCUUUAUUAUUACUCAAAAGAGGAACUUGACGCCCAACCCUGAUGAGACUGGAAGACUGGUGAUUCUCCAGUGAAACUGAGGAAGAAAGUGGUUCCACUGAUCAGCCUUCAGCUGGUUGCCUUUGCAUAAAUCUGCUCUAUUCAGUUUUUCUCUUAACUCUUUUGGAUUAUAAUUGUAGGACGGCUGAAUCCCCAUGCCCACCUUGAGAAUAAAUCUCUUUCCUUUGCA